UGUGUGCCUGUAAUCCCAGCUACUCGGGAGGUUCAGGCAGGAGAAUUGCUUGCACCUGGAAGGUGGGGGUUGCAGUGAGCUGACAUUAUGCCACUGCUCUCUAGCCUGGGCAACAAGAGUGAAACUCCGUCUCAAAAAAAAAGAAAAAAAAGAAAAUUUAGACACACAAAUACCAGGGACUCAGAAGAAAGACUACCUAGAAGGUGGCCAUCUGCAAGCUGAGGAGAGAGGGCUCAGGAGAAACCAAACCUGCUGUGAAUUGAUCUUGGACUUCUAGGCUCCAGAACGAGACGGGGUUUUACCAUGCUGCUGCACACUGGUCUUGAACUCCUGGGCUCUAGUGAUCCACCUGCUCAGCUUCCCAAAGUAAUGGGAAUACAGGCUAGUCAAAUAAAGCAGUGGGAGUGGAAAAGGAUCAAAGAAAUCUGUAACCGGUUAUGAUCAAUUAGUUGUAAACACCACUGCACGAGGACCAGCCCAAAGCUGCUACUUAACCAAGUGACUUUCUGAUUGCUCAACUGUGUUUCCACUGAGAAAAAUGCAUUGAAAUGAAACAUCUCAUUUCCAGUACUGUCCUGAGGCAAAAAGAGACAAUGAUACGUAUCUCCAAUUUAGACUGGAUGAAACUAGCCACAUUUCAAAUAAAGAAGUCACAUUGUAAGUGUAAAACGACGUUAACCUUAAAGGAGACAUUUCCGCCCUGUAUAACUAUGCACAGCUUCAACUAAUGGUAUAUGAACUGUGUCUACAAACCAAAGGACAUUUUUCUAAAGAAACUUUAAAUAUAGAAAAUUAACUCAAACCUUACCUUAGAGCUUCCUCCUCUAUUGUCUUUUCCUGUAGUGGUAGUCUCUGUGGCACUUACAGGUGGUAAACAAAUAAAAAAGUGUCUUAUUGAAUUAACUUGAUUGCCAUAUUGAUCAGUUUUAUGUGUUUUUAUUCUUAAGCAUAACAAUAAAAGAAAAUGAUUAAGCAAUGUUUUGCUUAAAAAAAAAAGAUUUCAUGGCAGAGAAGCAAUUGAGUCCAGUUAAGAGACAGUUAAGAACAUUUUUCAGUUUGGAGCUUUUGUUUUGUGAUGAGAACUUUGCCAGUUAGUCACAAAUGAACUUGAGCACAUUUUCUUGAGCGUGAUGGCUGAACAGAUGAGCCACACACACUUUAUAGUGAGUUUUACUGCACUGAGUCUUUACCUACUAUUCCUAGUAGUUACACAUAUUAAAUUAUUAAUAACUGAUCAACAUUUUAAAAGAAGGUUUCAAAAGAAAUGUAAUUAGAUUUUAUAGUUGAGUUUUAGCUAAUGUGUGAUUCCACAAAAGUUCAGGUGCCGAGAUUACAUUUCAAUUUAUACUUGCCAUCUGCUAGAAUAUUCCCCUCUGUCUACAGCAUCCUGACCAGAUCUCCAAAUUUUGAAAUCUGUUUUCAUUAUUCAAGACUCAUUGUACAUUUCAAAUACCAGGUUGAUUUCUUAGUCUCCAUGUUCUCCAUGUCUGCUUAUGACUUUACAGAAAAAAUGUUAUUUACUAUGCAUAUUAAUAUUGAGAUUCUUUACUAUGCUGUAUCUUUUUUUUUUUUUUUUUUUUUUUGAGAUGGAGUCUCACUAUGUUGCCCAGGCUGGAGUGCAGUGGCGCCAUCUCGGCUCACUGCAAGCUUCGCCUCCUGGGUUCAUGCCAUUCUCCUACCUCAGCCUCCUGAGUAGCUGGGAUUCUAAUCUCCGCCACCACGCCUGGCCAAUUUUUUGUAUUUUUAGUAGAGACAGGGUUUCACUUUGUUAGCCAGGAUGGGAGCUCGUAAUCCGCCCACCUCGGCCUCCCAAAGCUGGGAUUACAGGCGUGAGCCACUGUGCCUGGCCUACUAUGCUGUAUUCUUAUAGUUAACAGCAUGCUCUUUGAUAAUAUCUCAUUGGAAAUAUUUAUGCUCUGAAACAUUAUUUUUUGAAUUGUUAAAUAUAAAUCAUUUAUACAGCAAUACUUUAUGGGAGAAGCAUAUGCUGAAUUUUAAUGGUGUUUACUUUGCAAUCCAAAAUUGUGAAUACAUACAUGUAAAACUAUGAAAUUGCUAAUUAAAUAUUUCCAUCUAUCAUA
rnacentral:lncRNA from 1 species